ACAAAGAGAGAACAUAAGGUUUCCCUUGCUGAAGUACAUAAAUUGAAAGAGAACAUCAAGAAGGUGGAAGAGAUUAAUGAAAAUUUGAAGGACACCCUUCAUCGUAAACAGGCUCUCCUACAAGCUGAGAGAGAAAAGAAUAUCAAGAACAUAGACAUGGUCCAAGAUGAAUUGUGAGAUCAAGAGCUGAGAGCCUUGACAUCCAAAAAGCAAGAACUGAAAGAAAGUAAAAAGUUCCUGGAAGACAAGUGUAAUGCCCCGAGUUCUCAGAAAACAGCUAAAGAAGCAGAAUUGAAC